rnacentral:tRNA from 1 species
GCUCGUAUGGCGGAAUUGGUAGACGCGAUAGACUCAAAAUCUAUUUCUUGAAAGAGAGUUUCGGUUCAAGUCCGAAUACGAGCACCA